rnacentral:lncRNA from 1 species
UCAUUCAAUCGUCUUCUUUCCUCCUUCAUCAUCACUCGUGCUCUGCCUCUCUGCCCUCCUCCUUCCGUCGACGUUUCCUUCCUCUCAUCCCUUCCUUCCAUCGGUCGGCGGCAAAAUCGAGCGACGGCGACGGAACGUGCAGCGUUUCCUCUCCUCUCUUGAUUCGGCGACAACAGCUCCUCCCUCCUUCUUUGUCGACGUUAGCCCUCCUCUCCUCCUUACGGUCUCUUCCCGCAAUGCAACUGAUCUAUUCCGGUACGGCAACGCUGUUGCUCGAACCUCAUCCUUGCCCAAGUAAGUUGAUGGUCCUCUCCGCUUCUCUAUUUAUUUUAAUCUCAUCCCUCUCUUCUUCCUCUCCUCUCCUUCUCUAUUUAUUAAUAAUACAAGCCCUUUCUUCUUCCUCUCGUCUGCUUAUCUGUUUAAUACAAGUAUACGUUUGUGAUUUGAAAAUGUCUGUGAUUCGUAAAAAUUCGUAAACAUCUGCUUAAUACGAGUCUGAAAUUGAUUCGUAAACAGAUGGAUGAAGUUGCGACUACAGCGGCCGAGAAUGUCAAUUCGCUAAAGAGGAAGCCCGGUGAUAUUGGUUGGCAAUAUGGAAUACUAAUCUAUUCCAAUAUCAAGGAUAAAGUUCAAUGUAACUUUUCCAAAAAUAUAUACUCAGGAGGAAUUAACCGUCUCAAGAACCACAUUGCUCAAACUUUUGCAAAAAUAUAUUACACUCACCAAUUAACUCCAAUCGAUAGUGAUGUGGAGCAGC